UUUCUGGGUUUGGGUGGGUGUUUUUUUGCACUGAGGUAUAUGGGAGCAGUAAGUGGUCGUGGGAGUGUUGGAAAGAUGUUUAUACCACCUCAAAGUUAAGGCUAUUACAAGUGCAUGAUGUUCCAGUGUGACUGAAGGGACAUUUAUUUAUUUGAAGUUUUACCAACUACAAUGAGAGAGCGCCCAUCUAAUGCUCUGAGCACUUUGGGCAAGCUUUUCUAAACAACACACAAAUGGAUAGAUGCAUCCUUCACCCUGAUCAUCCAGUGGCUGCAUAAACGUAUCAAGAACCAUCAAGAGAGAAUCCGAAGUCUCUUCAAGGCUCCAGAAGAGACAGCUGACGCUGAGACCUGGAAACAGCUGGCUCACAGGUUGACACCCUGCCAGGAAU
rnacentral:lncRNA from 1 species